AUUGAACGCUGGCGGCAGGCCUAACACAUGCAAGUCGAGCGGAGCGGCGGACGGGUGAGUAAUGCCUAGGAAUCUGCCUGGUAGUGGGGGAUAACGUCAGGAAACGGGCGCUAAUACCGCAUACUAUCAGAUGAGCCUAGGUCGGAUUAGCUAUUGGGUGGGGUAAAGGCCUACCCAGACGACGAUCCGUAACUGGUGUGAGAGGAUGAUCAGGCACACUGGAACUGAGACACGGUCCAGACUCCUACGGGAGGCAGCAGUGGGGAAUAUUGGACAAUGGGCGAAAGCCUGAUCCAGCCAUGCCGCGUGUGUGAAGAAGGUCUUCGGAUUGUAAAGCACUUUAAGUUGGGAGGCGUUACCCGCAGAAUAAGCACCGGCUAACUUCGUGCCAGCAGCCGCGGUAAUUC
rnacentral:rRNA from 1 species